rnacentral:lncRNA from 1 species
CAAAACAUGUAACGUGCCGUGACCCUUUUGGUUUUCUGAUUUAAUGCUGCCCAUGAAUGCUCUUCUUUAUGUUGAUAAAGGUGAUGUGUAACUGAAGUUGGGAAAGCUUAACAUUAGGAAUUUCUGAUAUAUAUCUCCUUUAUUGCCACCUUUGAAAUUCCUCUUAUUGCAAUUCAUAGCUGAACCAUUCUGUUGCUCUUUUAACAUUAUUUCACCAAUGCAUUAAAUUAUAAUUGUUGGCACACAGUGAGUAACCGGUACCCACCUCUGGCAAUACCAUUUUUUCUUUUCUUUAUUUUUUGACUUUGGUUCUAUAUCUAGGAUGUUGAUUUUUUAGAACCAUUAUUACGAUUUGCCUAAGCUGUAACCCUUUUAUUUCUGACUGGACGUGUUUAAGGCUAUCUAGGAAUAUUGUAUAAUUAGUAACUGAAACAAUAUUAAUUUUGUAGUGAUUGUUGAGAAAAUAUCCUAACAUUAACAUUAUUUUCUUUUGCAGUGAGUUCCUAACCAAGGUUGGAGAUUCGUUGUGAAGAUAGGCUUGACCUAAAACAUGUUACAUUUUACCAGAGCAACAGCUCCUGGCCAAUUAAGAUAAUGGUUCAACUUCUUUGGUGUUUAAUCAUGGUGCUUAGUGCGAUAGAAAGUCUUUUCUUGUAAACAAACUCAUCAAUUUGUUUAGAUAUGAUGUGAAAUGUUUAGAUUUGUUCCGUUAUAUAUAUAUAGAUGAGGUUUAAACCACUUACAUUGAACCAAUUGGCAAAUAAUAAUCUAUGUACAAUAUACAGGCCACUGAGGCAGAUAAUGUUUAUGAACGUCCAAGUACUAUUCCAUGUGAUCUAAUAUAAUUAACAGAAUUGACACUCAUAAUGUACUUUUUACAUAAACUCCAGCGUGGUCCCUUCCAGCACCGAUGUUGGCAAAUGGAUGCUAUUUUCUUGCAUUUAUCCAUGACCUCAAUCUAACAAUGAGUUCAUGACCUCAAUCUAAAAUCAUGUUCGCAGGAAUGUUGUUGUCACAAAGGGAUUUGACUUCUUGCCACUUCCUUAACGCGUACUAUAACCAUAUUCAUGCUCCUUUUUUAAUUUUUGUUGUUGUUGUAUUUUAAUUUAUUUGACAAGUGGCCGGAC